rnacentral:rRNA from 1 species
UACGUAGGGUGCAGGCGUUAAUCGGAAUUACUGGGCGUAAAGCGUGCGCAGGCGGUUUGCUAAGACAGGUGUGAAAUCCCCGGGCUUAACCUGGGAACUGCGCUUGUAACUGGCAAGCUAGAGUGUGGCAGAGGGGGGUGGAAUUCCACGUGUAGCAGUGAAAUGCGUAGAGAUGUGGAGGAACACCGAUGGCGAAGGCAGCCCCCUGGGCUAACACUGACGCUCAUACACGAAAGCGUGGGGAGCAAACAGG